rnacentral:rRNA from 1 species
CCUACGGGAGGCAGCAGUGAGGAAUAUUGGUCAAUGGGCGGGAGCCUGAACCAGCCAAGUCGCGUGAGGGAAGACGGUCCUAUGGAGUGUAAACCGCUUUAGGCGGGGAGCAAGGCCGGGCACGCGUGCCCGGAGGGAGAGGACCCGCAGAAGAAGCAGCGGCGAACUCCGUGCCAGCAGCCGCGGUAAUACGGAGGAGGCGAGCGUUAGCCGGAUUGAUGGGGUUGAAAGGGUGCGUAGGCGGAUUUUUAAGUCAGCGGUAAAAUGUCCGGGCUCAACCCGGGCCGGCCGUUGAAACUGGGGAUCUUGAGUGGGCGAGCAGUAUGCGGCAUGCGUGUUGUAGCGG